rnacentral:rRNA from 1 species
UACGAAGGGGGCUAGCGUUGCUCGGAAUUACUGGGCGUAAAGCGCACGUAGGCGGCUUGUUAAGUCAGGGGUGAAAUCCUGGAGCUCAACUCCAGAACUGCCUUCGAUACUGGAAGACUCGAGUCCGGGAGAGGUGAGUGGAACUGCGAGUGUAGAGGUGAAAUUCGUAGAUAUUCGCAAGAACACCAGUGGCGAAGGCGGCUCACUGGCCCGGUACUGACGCUGAGGUGCGAAAGCGUGGGGAGCAAACAGGG